UACGGGGGGGGCAAGCGUUGUCCGGAAUUAUUGGGCGUAAAGAGCUCGUAGGCGGUUUGUCGCGUCUGCUGUGAAAAUCCAGGGCUUAACCCUGGACCUGCAGUGGGUACGGGCAGACUAGAGUGCGGUAGGGGAGAUCGGAAUUCCUGGUGUAGCGGUGAAAUGCGCAGAUAUCAGGAGGAACACCAGUGGCGAAGGCGGAUCUCUGGGCCGUAACUGACGCUGAGGAGCGAAAGCAUGGGGAGCGAACAGG
rnacentral:rRNA from 1 species